CCUACGGGAGGCAGCAGUGGGGAAUAUUGGACAAUGGGGGCAACCCUGAUCCAGCCAUGCCGCGUGUGUGAAGAAGGCCCUCGGGUUGUAAAGCACUUUCAGUGAGGAAGAACGCCUGGUGGUUAAUACCCAUCAGGAAAGACAUCACUCACAGAAGAAGCACCGGCUAACUCCGUGCCAGCAGCCGCGGUAAUACGGAGGGUGCGAGCGUUAAUCGGAAUUACUGGGCGUAAAGCGCGCGUAGGUGGCUUGAUAAGCCGGUUGUGAAAGCCCCGGGCUCAACCUGGGAACGGCAUCCGGAACUGUCAAGCUAGAGUGCAGGAGAGGAAGGUAGAAUUCCCAUUGUAGCGGUGAAAUGCGUAGAGAUCGGGAGGAAUACCAGUGGCGAAGGCGGCCUUCUGGACUGACACUGACACUGAGGUGCGAAAGCGUGGGUAGCAAACAGGAUUAGAUACCCUUGUAGUC
rnacentral:rRNA from 1 species